AGUUCCAAACCAUCCUGGGACCCUGUCUCUAAACAACAACAAAAGAAGCCACUGUGUAUGAACACACCAACAAGCUCUUCACCUUCUGGUUCCUGCAUAGAUCAGACAAUUGGAGGCUAUAGCAGCAUCAGGAAGAAAGAAGAAUCAGUGGCAGAGACAAGGAUCUCCUGCAAACAGGAGUUCAUACUGAGGACCUACAAGGAAUAACAGCCCAGGAAGCUGUUCACAGCGGACUACACCAGCUGAACCAACUCCUCUGCCUCCUGGAAGCUGACUGGGUCCCAGCAGAUCUGAGGGAGGGAUGAGGCUGUGUUGAGAACAUUCUCUCUCCUACUCCCAUCCUAGAGGCUGCCGUUGGUUGGCUCCUUUCCUGUCCUGUCAUGGAAUUUGUGUCUACAAGCUGUUCUAUUUUCAGGUCUCAGUCUGCUGCUAUUCUUCAAAGCCCCACCAAGAUUGGACUGUUGAUUCUGCUACUACCACCUAAUCCUCUCAACAUCUACGUCAGAAAGAGUGAUUGGAACCAGAGGAUCGUCUCCCCAGCUCCCACCUUGCUACCUCUGAAGAAGACUAUGACUGUCUGCAGGCUGUGAUGCUAUGGAAACCAUUGGCUUCCAGUCAAAUGAGACCUAAAAAUGGGUCCUUUGCAAGGAUCUGCUACUACACUGUGCCAUCCACAAGGCAACUUGUUACAAAGGUGAAUUAACAUCAUCCCCAAGGACAACUGCUGUUUCAAAUAGUAUAUUUUAUUUCAAAAUAAGGCUGGGUCCACAAGAUCCUCUCUGCUCCUAUUUUAA